CUCACGUGACGCGCGGAGGGUCGCUCACGUGACGCGCGGGGGGCGGCGGUUGCCAUGGCGAGGAGGGUGCUGGUGCCCCUCUGCCUGUGCUGGGCCUUGGGCCCCGCCGCGGCGUCCGCGCCCCCAAACCUCCUCCUCCUCCUCAUGGACGACAUGGGUUGGGGUGAUUUGGGAGCUUUUGGAGAGCCUUCUAAGGAAACUCCUAACUUAGACCAGAUGGCUUCAGAAGGGAUGCUUUUCCUAGAUUUUUAUACUGCCAACCCCCUCUGUUCUCCGUCAAGGGCAGCACUGUUGACAGGCCGUCUCCCAGUGAGGAAUGGUUUUUACACCACGAAUGCACAUGCCAGAAACGCAUACACACCACAGGAUAUAGUAGGAGGAAUUGCAGAUUCUGAAUUACUGCUUCCAGAGUUGCUGAAGAAAGCUGGCUACAUCAAUAAGAUCAUUGGCAAAUGGCAUCUGGGUCACAGGCCCCAGUUCCACCCCCUGAAGCAUGGGUUUGAUGAAUGGUUUGGGUCCCCAAACUGCCAUUUUGGACCUUUUGAUAACAGAGCGCUCCCCAAUAUCCCUGUGUAUAGGGACUGGGAAAUGAUUGGCAGGUAUUAUGAAGAUUUCAAAAUUGAUCGGAAGACAGGUGAAGCCAACUUGACUCAGAUCUACCUGCAGGAAGCUCUCGAUUUUAUUAGCAAGCAGCAGGGCAGCCAGCAGCCAUUCUUUUUAUACUGGGCAAUUGAUGCUACCCAUGCUCCUGUUUAUGCCUCCAAACAGUUCCUGGGCACUAGUCAGAGAGGACUAUAUGGGGAUGCUGUGCGAGAAAUUGAUGAUAGCAUUGGAAAAAUCCUAAAGCAUCUUCAGAAGCUGGGUAUCAGCGAGAAGACUUUUGUGUUUUUCACGUCUGAUAAUGGGGCUGCUCUCAUUUCAGCUCCUAAACAAGGAGGAAGCAAUGGUCGUUUUCUGUGUGGUAAACAAACCACCUUUGAAGGUGGCAUGAGAGAGCCAGCUAUUGCUUGGUGGCCCGGACAUAUACCUGCAGGAGGGGUCAGUCAUCAGCUGGGCAGUGUGAUGGAUCUCUUCACCACCAGCCUCUCCCUGGCGGGACUGCAGCCUCCCAGUGACAGGCAGAUUGACGGCAUCGACCUUUUACCUGCCAUCUUGCAGGGCAAGCUAAUUGACAGGCCCAUAUUCUAUUAUCGUGGCAACGAGAUGAUGGCGGUGAGAGUCGGGCUUUACAAGGCUCACUACUGGACCUGGAGCAACUCCUGGGAGGAGUACAGCAAGGGCAUUGAUUUCUGUCCUGGGCAGAAUGUCUCUGGAGUGACAACACAUACACUGGAGGAGCACACUACCCUGCCGCUGCUUUUCCACCUGGGGAUGGACCCUGGAGAGAAGUACCCAUUAAGCGUGCUGCCGGGCUGGCAAUCCUGCGUGCUUGAAAUGCGACCAGAGGGCUUCCAGAUAAAAUCUCCCCAAACUGAAAGGCCAUUGUGCCACCGGGAGGCAACACUGGCUGAGCCAAGUGAUUGCUGCCUUGAGUGUCCUCAUCGGGGUUUUUCCCAGCGAUGAAUACCAAAGGGCUAUGGAGCGAAUAUCUGUCGUUGUCCAGCAGCACAAAGCGACCAUGGUGCCAGGGGAGCCACAGCUUAACGUGUGCGACAAGGCCGUCAUGAAUUGGUCUCCUCCAGGCUGUGAGAAGCUAGGGAAGUGCCUGAAACCACCCAAGUCUGAUCCUAAGAAGUGCUUUUGGCCUCAUUGAUCUUCUCUGCAGCCCUCAAGAGCUACACAGAAAAGCUAUAACCAGCUGGACAUACAGUUUACAAAGCAAGUCUUUUCACGUUGGCACUCCUGUUUACACAGGAAGGGUGUGAUGUAUGUAUGAUAUCAUCAUUUGCUCUUCCAAAAGGGCCAGUGUUUAUAUUGCUAGUGCUCAGGGUUUAGCCUGUACUCUUGUGUUGUUCUGGUUGUUUCCGUAAAUGGUAACUUUUCAGUGAAGACUGUUUCAACUGUAAAAGCUCUCUGGACAACCACAACUCUGCCAUCACCUCAGAAAUGCCAUGGAUGCACCUUUCCUCUUGCUUCUUCCACCCAACCUGCUCUCUCAAAUCAUUUUUCGUUCAGAUGCCCCUACAGCAGCCAUGAGGGACUGUUCAGGAAACUUACAACUGCCAGAAAACCCUGCCCAAACUGCCCUUGUUUUGUUUGCCUGUAACUUGUUGGUUUAACAUUUGAUUUCCAUUGUGAACUCUGGACACCAGCUUGUUUUUCCUUUCUCUCUAAACUUGUGAGUACUGGGUGCAGCUGUACAGCCCAGACUGCUGCUGUGCAUCGCUGGGCGCAAACAAGUGCUCCCUCCCGUUCCUGACUAAGGGGUUGGCUCCAGGGAGAACACCCUGCCUGCCUUCCAUCUGUAGCUGCAAACAUUCCCUAGGUAACGGUAUAAAGAAAUUUGAAGAUGGUGUUCAUGUAAGUAUUGCCUUAUUGAUGGUGUGCAGGAUGUUCUUGUGGAGCUGGGGGUCAGUUGUUCGUUUCAGGGGUUUUCUUUGUUUCCAAAAAUCUGGGUCCAAAUAUGGUUUAAGUCACGCUUCUAGUCUCAUGAUCUGGGUCCAGCCAACUGCAGGCUCAGAAAUGCCCAUUUACAUCAGAUGUUAACUCUUGACCCUGUUUCCAGUGUACGCUCUCUGAGGAAUUCUCCUUGUGCAAACUUUCCACAGCCUGGGUGUAGCACUUCUCUAAACAGAGUUCAUGGUAAAUGCUGGUCCUUUGCACAAUUCCACAUUGCAGAUUUUUCAUCUGCUUUUGAGCCUGUUUCACACCCUUCACUAUUGCUAAUUAAACGUGUCUCGAACAAAACUGCGCAAGGUUACUCUGGGGCUUCGGGGGAGUAGUUGGAAGCAACCCUGAACAUGCUGUUUGCACCACUGACAGCUCCACUUCCACCCCUCCAGUGUUUUGUACAAUACACAUGCCCUCUCCGUAUGGCGUUGUGCUGCCUUGGGAAAAAUUGAGGUGCUCUGUACCUGUAAACAGCCCUACUUGCUUCCCAAGCAAAGCUUGGGGCUGGCUUGAGAUGGGUUGAGAGCUCUGCUUUUCUGGUAACUGCUGUGCUACUGCCUGCUAUGGGCUUCUCAGCUGCUUGUUCUUACCCUCCCUGUAAUCCCAAAUGCUCUUAUUCUCUCCGUUCCCAUGGUUUAUGCUACCUGUAAUCCCCUCCACAGUAUUUCCUACUGUAUAUCUCAUGAAGCUGGAUAAUCCUAUAAGAUUGUAAUAAGAACAGCACUUGAGUCGGCUCUUACUGUUCCACCUAUCAGAAAUCACAGCCAACAUUUCGUCGGCUGGCAGAGCCUCUGAAUCUCUGUGCAUCUAGAGAUGGCAUUUGUUUAUAGUCCAAAUUUCUUAAUUGCCUUAUGAUGUUCCCAGUUGUCCUUCAAGUGUAUUAAGGCAUUUCGAGUUCAUCCAUAACGUUUCUCCUUGUUUUGACAUAGUGUGGAUAGCUCAAGUCUUGGGAGAAUCUGAUCAGCCUAUAUUCUUCAGUGAUGCUGUAUGAGAAGGACUGGUAGGAGGACUUGCAGCAGUCAUGUGCGUCUGGCAGCACAGCAGACCAGACAAAACCAGUAACUUCCCAUUUUCUGGGGGCUGUCCACAUCUGCUUUAGCGCUUUAGCGCUUGUGUCACCCCAAAGUGUUCAGGGCCCUGCAGUUCAUUAUUAUCAGCAGAUGAAGGUACCACCAGAGGAGGGAGUCUGUCACUGCAACUCCCUGAAAAUCCCUGUCAGCCCUCAAAUAGUUAUGAACAUAUCUGCUGUGAAUUGUAACAGUGCUUUGUCUUUCUACGUGCUGCUUAUUAAGAGAUUGCAUCGCAGGAUCGCAGCUCAUUGUCUCAGCGCUAGCCCAGACAUGUUUCUCAGUUCUUAGCAUUUGCAGUAUGCACAUCGUGAGCGAUGCUACCCUGCGUCCCCUACCUGUCUGGCUGCCACUUUGUUCUUUACUCUUUCACAGCUUGCAGUUUUGAAGAUACUGCUUUUCCCCUGCCUGUGUAACUUGCUUGGACAAGCCAUCCUGUUCUCAGCAUGCACGGUGUUUGUCUGGUUACCCAGCACACAAAGUCCUCAUUCCUCAUUGAAAUAAUCUCUCCGUGCAUAGAUACUGGAUGUAAACUUUGCACUAGAAAGCUGGCUGCUAUAAGUGAAUUGACUUGAUGUCUGUUUAUUAUUUGCUUCAUGUCCGUUUAUUGUAAAAGAUCAAAGCUUAAUGUGAAGAAGCUACUGCUCUAAAUUUAAAUAAGAAUAGUAGUUUUACAGCUGGAUAGCUAGGAAGAAUUUUAAAUCAAUGCCUUUCCCAAAGAUGUACAGAUUUUAAAGUUGUGAGAUGAAGAAAUAAUGAAGAAAAAAUAAACUAUCAGAAAUGCA